CCAGCUCGCUGUGGGGCGGCAGCCGCUGCUCCAUGUCGAACACCAGCAGGUGCGAGGAGACCUCGGACACCAGGAACCUGCCGGCCACCUCUGGGGACACGAGCGGGUGAAAUGUCCCCCAAAGGAGGAAGAGGAGCCAGGGGCCUGUAAACCACUUUUGUGGGACUACUGAACCCUGAGGGAAAUGGUGAGGAUGGGUACAGCAGCCUCUUCGGAGGCACCAGCGACAUGUCCCCAACAGCUGAGGCUCCGGGUGGGCAGCAUGAUCACCGGACCACCCAGCCACGUGGCCACAAGCAGCCACCCCUGCUGAGGUGUCCAGGACCGGUCUCCUCAUCUCCCCAGACACCUGGCCUCAUCUAUCUCUGGGCACUGAGGAGCCAGAGUCCAGACUGCCAGCUGAGGGCCGUGGGAAAAUGUGAGGUCAGAGGUCAUCCUGCGGACUCUGCGGAUGGGGACAAACUGGACCAGAGCCUGGGCUUGGAACCAAAGUGAGCUGUGAGUUAAUACACAUAGUACAAGAGUCAAAAGGUGCAAAAGGCGUUCAUGAAAAAUAUCAGCCUCGGGAGUUCCCGGGUGGUCCAGUGGGU